rnacentral:rRNA from 2 species
UUGAAUAGUACCUUACUACUUGGAUAACGUGGUAAUUCUAGAGCUAAUACAUGCUAAAAACCCCAACUUCGGGAGGGGUGUAUUUAUUAGAUAAAAAACCAAUGCCCUUCGGGGCUCCUUGGUGAUUCAUGAUAACUUCUCAGAUCGCAUGGCUUUACGCCGGCGACGGUUCAUUCAAAUUUCUGCCCUAUCAACUUUCGAUGGUAAGGUAUUGGCUUACCAUGGUUUCAACGGGUAACGGGGAAUUAGGGUUCGAUUCCGGAGAGGGAGCCUGAGAAACGGCUACCACAUCCAAGGAAGGCAGCAGGCGCGCAAAUUACCCAAUUCCGAUACGGAGAGGUAGUGACAAUAAAUACUGAUACAGGGCUCUUUUGGGUCUUGUAAUUGGAAUGAGUACAAUUUAAACCUCUUAACGAGGAACAAUUGGAGGGCAAGUCUGGUGCCAGCAGCCGCGGUAAUUCCAGCUCCAAUAGCGUAUAUUAAAGUUGUUGCAGUUAAAAAGCUCGUAGUUGAACCUUUGGCCUGGCUGGCAGGUCCGCCUCACCGCGUGCACUUGUCCGGCCGGGCCUUUUCUUCUGGAGAACCGCAUGCCCUUCACUGGGUGUGUUGGGGACCAGGACUUUUACUUUGAAAAAAUUAGAGUGUUCAAAGCAGGCCUUUGCUCGAAUACGUUAGCAUGGAAUAAUAGAAUAGGACGUGCGGUCCUAUUUUGUUGGUUUCUAGGACCGCCGUAAUGAUUAAUAGGGACAGUCGGGGGCAUCAGUAUUCAAUUGUCAGAGGUGAAAUUCUUGGAUUUAUUGAAGACUAACUACUGCGAAAGCAUUUGCCAAGGAUGUUUUCAUUAAUCAGUGAACGAAAGUUAGGGGAUCGAAGACGAUCAGAUACCGUCGUAGUCUUAACCAUAAUACUAUGCCGACUAGGGCGGGCGUG